CAACGCAAAAAAACAUAAACCCGCCAACCUGCAAAACGAAAAGCAUAGGACAAAGCAGCCAAAGCUGGCCACGCUCUCCAGCUGUUUCUCCCCACACAACAUCCAUUCUUUUUGCCUGAAAUAAAUCAGAACAUAACAGUAGAAGAUUUUCACCAUACCAUUACUUCAGUGGAGGGAGGGGGAUGCUUGACAUAAUCCCAAGGGAAAAUCUAUGCUGAAAAUUUAGUAUGAGUAUGGAGACAAUGAUCAAUAACUCCUCCAAGCCUAGCACUUCAACAGUGGGGUGCCAAGAAAUUGAUGUACAAAAAUUCGCAAAUCUAGUGAGGUUCAUACCAGUACAGUCAUGGUAUUAAUUCAGGCCAUUCAUUAAGAUUUUCAACUUGCCAUCCUGAGAUGAGCCAUCCUGUAGCAUGUAUUACUGAACCAGCCAUUAUAAUCAAACAUUGAACUCGUCAUGCAUGUUGGUACUAGUGAUAUUCACAUUUUAGGGCCAGAUUAUAGUCACAUCAUUAACUGCUCAUUUCUGCACAAAAUAACGAAUUGUAGAAACAUGUACAAUGGUAGUCUAAAGAAUUAUUCCAAGACACUUGAAUUACAAUGAUGAAGUUGAAUUUUUUCCAA